GGAGAGGACCCAUCAAGUCAUCAACCGAUCAUUAAGGGAAAAAUGGGUCAAAUAAUCGGAUCAUAUCUUCUUCCCUAAAUCAGAGGUAAUCGGAUCAUAUCGAUCGUAUUCCUCAUUCCUUAGAUCAACUGGUCUUAUUACGCCAUUAUCGAUCGGAGCUUUGUUGUUCGCCGCCUGCUCCAUCCCAACAUCUCUUUUGCCUACCUCGAUCCUCCUUAAAUUUGAUGCUAAAUCAGAGGUACUAUCCUUGAUCCUCCCUAAAUCCCUUCCUCGGUUUCUCCUUCUCCACUCUUCUGUGAACUUAGCUGGUCAUGAUUUUGUUUCAGAACUUCUAAAUCUUCCAAUGAAUUUUGUUUCAGAACUAAAAUUAUUGUUCAUUACGCAUUACAGAACACUGUAUCACACUCUCAUACACACUUAACACAUAUACACCUCUACUGCUCUUUUAAAAGGAUUUUCUCAACCAAAUGGUUAAAUGUCAUAUGACUUUAUGUAGAAAAUAAGCAUACAUUGUAUGAUGAGUUUAUUGAUCAAAACUAGAGACAAAAACUACAUUCUGUUGUGGUCUACUGAUGAUAGAAUUAAGAUAACUUGGUGAUGAAAACUAGAUUAUGCAGUAACUAUGCUUUUGUGUGGUACAUCACAUUACAAACACCUCACUCAUAUUUUUCUUUUUUACCUUAAGCAUUAGAAUCUUGUAAGAAUAUUGUAAUUUACUCCAAUGCUUAUGCCAAGCCCUCCAAAUUCCAAUGUUUAACAACUCAUGAAGAUGUUUUCCUAUCCUAUAAAAAUACAUUGUGCAUUCUAUACAUGUAUAAUAUGACCUUGUUAGUUGAUGAAAAAGAUGACUCUUGAAAAGAAUGUAUUUGAUUGAUCAAGUCAAGACUCAGAAUAAAUAGAAUACAAGAUGGGACAAUCAUAAGGUCCUAUAAUGUGAUGUGCAUUCAUUGUGCUGUUUAAUUUGAUGUUACUUUACUAGAUGGCAUAUUCUUUGUUUGUAAAAUGUAAUCUUGCACUUUUUUACUUAGAUGAAGAUAAGGAGACUCAGCUCUCAUUUUGGAGUCCACUGUUGGAUCUGAGCUCUUUCCUGUUAAGGUUCCAAUCCACUCCAGUCCAAUCCAAUCCAAUCCAGGGAAUAUGUCACAAUUCUUAUUAAGAGACACAUUGAAACGAAAGCAACAUACAAGUAUACGUUUCAUAAACAAACGCACAGAUGAUGCAAAAUUUGCCCCAUUAUCUACACCAGUAUUGUUGUCAUCAUCAUCCCGUACCACAUUAUCAUCUAUUGGUACUGUAUCUGCCCCAACAUUUGCUUCACAUGUUGGUGCCACAUCAUUAACACAUGCAUCAUCCAUACCUACAUCAUCCAACCAGUCAUCCUUACCUACAUCAUCUACCCAAUCAUCUGUAUCUACAUCUAUCUAAUCAUAUACACCUGCAUCUACUACAUCAUCUGUACCUAGAUCCACAACAAAUUGUAGUGAAUCGGUUGAGGAAAAUGUUGGCGUUCAACAUCAAGGGUAUUUACUUGGAUCUACAGGACUGGAUGGGCGUCUAUAUAUUGGAGUGCAAGAUAAGGAGUUAUUUCCUUCAGGCCCAUGUUCUUCCGUUAUCUAUGAAUCCUUUGGUGAAAGAGAUGAUUUAAACGGGUAUAGCUGGGCAGCUUUAAGUGACGAGACAAAACUCCUUUAUUGGGACAAGUUUCAUAAAAAGUGUCAUUGGGAUGAUGCAAAAACUCAGUUAGUCCAAGCUUGUUGGGAAAAUAAGGCAAAGGAAAGAUAUAGACAAUAUAUCUACAAUAUAAGCUCAAAAUGGAAAAAGUCGACUAUAAAAAAAACCUGUUAAUAUAACAUCAGAAGUGUGGACAUCCUGGACUGCAAGAUGGAAUACUGAAGACUUCAAAAAAAAAAUCAGAACAAAACAAAAAAAAUAGGCGUAGAGGUGUAGCUGAUGGACAAGCCCUUUCUACGCAUACCGGUGGAUCGGCUUCUCAUUCCAAGAUUGCUUCUAAUUUAAAGAAGCUUUGGGGACAUGAUCCGGCACACCAUGAACUAUUCUUGUAUACACACACUAAGAAUCACGAUGGAGUGACUUUUUUAGUUGACAAAGCUAAAAAAAGUCAUGUAAGUUUUAUUUUUAAUAAUUUCAUGUAAGUUUUAUUUUGAUUUUUUUGUAUAAGUUUUAUCUCAACACAAUUAUAAAAUUAUAGGAUGAUUUUAUGGAACGAUGUGAUUGGUUGGAAGCAAUAGGAGAGGAAAUUGAUGAAGACAAACUAUUUUAUGAUGUUGUUGGGGGACAUGAUCGAAAAAGAGAUUAUAUGGAUUUGGCUCAUAUGGAAAGCGCAUUCGUUCUAGUAAAGGAUAUUCUGAAAUGCAUCGCGAACAAUACGAGGAUAAUAAUGCCGAGACAAAAGUCGAGAUUGAGAAUUUGAAGAAAUUAGUUGAGACGCAAUGCGAACAAUAUGAGGAUAUUCAACAAAAAUAUGAGGAUGUUCAGCAAAAAUAUGAGGAUGCUCAGAAAAAGAAUGUGGAGUUUCAGCAGAAAAAUGUAGAUGUUCAAGCUAAGUUUGAACAACAACUCGCACAAGCAAUGAAUGUCAUUAACACAUUGAGUGAACAUGUCAAAAAUUUUAUUAAUCGAUGAUAGAAUAUUAUGUAUCGAAUAAUGUUUUACGUUAAAUUUGUAGCGACUUUUGAUUUUGAAAUAUGAAUCUUUUGAUGUAUUGGAUAUUUCUUUUAGUUUCUAUAGAAAUACUUUGUUA